GCUGUUCUCAGUUCGGACUGCAGUCUGCAACUCGACUGCACGAAGCUGGAAUCGCUAGUAAUCGCGGAUCAGCACGCCGCGGUGAAUACGUUCCCGGGCCUUGUACACACCGCCCGUCACACCAUGGAAGUCUGCAAUGCCCGAAGCCGGUGGCCUAACCACUUAUGUGGAAGGAGCCGUCUAAGGCAGGGCAGAUGACUGGGGUGAAGUCGUAACAAGGUAAC
rnacentral:rRNA from 1 species